rnacentral:rRNA from 1 species
UGCGGGAAGAAGGCCUUCGGGUUGUAAACCGCUUUUGUCAGGGAAGAAAAGGUUCUGGCUAAUACCUGGGACUCAUGACGGUACCUGAAGAAUAAGCACCGGCUAACUACGUGCCAGCAGCCGCGGUAAUACGUAGGGUGCAAGCGUUAAUCGGAAUUACUGGGCGUAAAGCGUGCGUAGGCGGUUAUGCAAGACGGAGGUGAAAUCCCCGGGCUCAACCUGGGAACUGCCUUUGUGACUGCAUAGCUAGAGUGCGGCAGAGGGGGAUGGAAUUCCGCGUGUAGCAGUGAAAUGCGUAGAUAUGCGGAGGAACACCGAUGGCGAAGGCAAUCCCCUGGGCCUGCACUGACGCUCAUGCACGAAAGCGUGGGGAGCAAACAGGAUUAGAUACCCUGGUAGUCCACGCCCUAAACGA